rnacentral:tRNA from 1 species
GGGGAUGUAGCUCAGCGGGAGAGCGCCUGCUUUGCAAGCAGGAUGUCACGGGUUCGAAUCCCGUCAUCUCCA